rnacentral:rRNA from 1 species
GAUGAACGCUAGCGAUAGGCUUAACACAUGCAAGUCGAGGGGUAACGUGUUGGAAGCUUGCUUCCGAUGACGACGACCGGCGGAUGGGUGCGUAACGCGUAUGCAACUUGCCUCACAGUGGAGAAUAACCCGGAGAAAUCCGGACUAAUACUCCAUACACUCUUAAGUACGCCUGUACAUGAGAGGAAAGAUUUAUCGCUGUGAGAUAGGCAUGCGUCCUAUUAGGUAGUUGGUGAGGUAACGGCUCACCAAGCCGACGAUAGGUAGGGGUGCUGAGAGGCAGAUCCCCCACAUUGGGACUGAGACACGGCCCAAACUCCUACGGGAGGCAGCAGUGAGGAAUAUUGGUCAACGGAGGAAACUCUGAACCAGCCAAGUCGCGUGAAGGAAGAAUGUCCUAAGGAUUGUAAACUUCUUUAGCGAGCGAGUAAGGACUUCCACGUGAUGGGAGUUUGAAAGUAGCUCGAGAAUAAGUAUCGGCUAACUCCGUG